CUUUACUAUAACUUUGCAGUGGCAUCACGAUUGUCAUGUGUAGCAUAGGUGGGAGACUUUGAAGCUUGGGCGCUAGCCUGAGUGGAGUCUUUAGUGAAAUACCACCCUUGACCUUCGUGAUGUCUAACCUCGCCCAGUAUAUCCUGGGCAGGGACCCUGCAUGGCGGGUAGUUUGACUGGGGCGGUCGCCUCCCAAAGUGUAACGGAGGCGCGCGAUGGUGAGCUCAAGACGGUCGGAAAUCGUCUUCAAGAGUGCAAUGGCAUAAGCUCGCCUGACUGUGAGACUGACAAGUCGAACAGAGAGGAAACUCGGUCAUAGUGAUCCGGUGAUUCCAAAUGGAAGGGUCAUCGCUCAACGGAUAAAAGGUA
rnacentral:rRNA from 1 species